rnacentral:rRNA from 1 species
CACUCCUGCGGGAGGCAGCAGUGGGGAAUAUUGCACAAUGGGCGCAAGCCUGAUGCAGCCAUGCCGCGUGUAUGAAGAAGGCCUUCGGGUUGUAAAGUACUUUCAGCGGGGAGGAAGGCGAUAAGGUUAAUAACCUUGUUGAUUGACGUUACCCGCAGAAGAAGCACCGGCUAACUCCGUGCCAGCAGCCGCGGUAAUACGGAGGGUGCAAGCGUUAAUCGGAAUUACUGGGCGUAAAGCGCACGCAGGCGGUCUGUCAAGUCGGAUGUGAAAUCCCCGGGCUCAACCUGGGAACUGCAUUCGAAACUGGCAGGCUAGAGUCUUGUAGAGGGGGGUAGAAUUCCAGGUGUAGCGGUGAAAUGCGUAGAGAUCUGGAGGAAUACCGGUGGCGAAGGCGGCCCCCUGGACAAAGACUGACGCUCAGGUGCGAAAGCGUGGGGAGCAAACAGGAUUAGAUACCCCAGUAGUCCCAU